rnacentral:rRNA from 1 species
AUGGUGUUAUUUAUGUGCAGAAGAAAAAGUUCUCGGAAUGACCUGAAACUCCACGGAACGUAUUUUUGGAAAAUAUUUAAAAUACUGGAAGAAGAAUCCACGUCAGGGGGCCCACACCCUGUCCACGUGGGUGGGGGCGCGCCCCUGCCUCGUGGGCCCCCUGACGCUCCACCGACCUCAACUCCAACUCCAUAUAUUCACUUUCGGGGAGAAAAAAUCAAAGAGAAGGAUUCAUCGCGUUUUACGAUACAAAGCCGCCGCCAAGCCCUAAAACCUCUCGGGAGGGCUGAUCUGGAGUCCGUUCGGGGCUCCGGAGAGGGGGAUUCGUCGCCGUCGUCAUCAUCAACCAUCCUCCAUCACCAAUUUCAUGAUGCUCACCGCCGUGCGUGA